rnacentral:rRNA from 1 species
GCUAAUCGCUGACGAGUGGCGGACGGGUGAGUAAUGCUUGGGAACUUGCCUUCGGGAGGGGGAUAACAGUUGGAAACGACUGCUAAUACCGCAUAAUGUCUACGGACCAAAGCGGGCUUCGGCUCGCACCUGAAGAGAGGCCCAAGUGAGAUUAGCUAGUUGGUAAGGUAACGGCUUACCAAGGCAACGAUCUCUAGCUGUUCUGAGAGGAAGAUCAGCCACACUGGGACUGAGACACGGCCCAGACUCCUACGGGAGGCAGCAGUGGGGAAUAUUGCACAAUGGGGGAAACCCUGAUGCAGCCAUGCCGCGUGUGUGAAGAAGGCCUUCGGGUUGUAAAGCACUUUCAGUUGUGAGGAAAGGUUGGUAGUUAAUACCUGCCAGCUGUGACGUUAACAACAGAAGAAGCACCGGCUAACUCCGUGCCAGCAGCCGCGGUAAUACGGAGGGUGCGAGCGUUAAUCGGAAUUACUGGGCGUAAAGCGCACGCAGGCGGUUUGUUAAGCUAGAUGUGAAAGCCCCGGGCUCAACCUGGGAUGGUCAUUUAGAACUGGCAGACUAGAGUCUUGGAGAGGGGGGUGGAAUUCCAGGUGUAGCGGU